UUAAUUGGAUUAUGAUCCAUUGUGGUCUCAAUUUAUAACAAUUCUGGUGCCGUGACUCGGAUAAGGAACGGUGGGCUUUGGUCCUCCGGGGAGGCGCCCCGCGACAUUUCGCGGCCCCGCGACCAACAGCUUACUCCAACCUUACCGACGAACCUAAAUUCUAGAAUAAUGAGCAAAGGAGAAACCGGUAAAAUCCCAUAAAAUUCUGUGCACGGGAGUCCGGACGAAGACGCAGGACGCGUGUAAGGUAUGCCAGAAUAAAUGGUGGACACACUGUGAAUGUGGAUACCCUCCAAUAGGAGUUUGCACACAGUGUUGGAAAGUCCAAAGAACUCUUACUGAGUGGAAAUUAAAACAAUUAGAGUCUAAACAAGAAAUUAUUCGAGAAUCCCAUGAGUGGUGGGAAAUUUUUGCCAAAGGAAUAAACCCUCAAUAUUAUUGUUACCACUUCACCGAACCAGUCCCCUUUGUAGCUGAAAUCUUAGCUAUAAAAUGCAGAAGGGAAGUACUAACCGUGUCUUGCUUUGCCCCAUUAGUUAAAGCUGCAAAGUGGGAAGCCUAUGUAAACAGGCAGAAAGCCCGAAGCAGCUGUUCUCCUGAAGAAUUCCCUUGCUGCCGAGAAGAUGGUACACCCCGUGGCUCGAAGCAACCGAGUCGACGGGCAAGGCAGAGGAGGAACAAACUGUGGAGAAAAGAACCAGAACAAUGGGACACUAAAGCAACAAUGGCCAAACUUCCCCAGGACUGGUAAAAAUAUACUUAAAUUGGCAAAAUUGA